rnacentral:rRNA from 1 species
CCUACGGGUGGCUGCAGUGGGGAAUAUUGCACAAUGGGCGCAAGCCUGAUGCAGCCAUGCCGCGUGUAUGAAGAAGGCCUUCGGGUUGUAAAGUACUUUCAGCGAGGAGGAAGGUGUUGAGGUUAAUAACCUUAGCAAUUGACGUUACUCGCAGAAGAAGCACCGGCUAACUCCGUGCCAGCAGCCGCGGUAAUACGGAGGGUGCAAGCGUUAAUCGGAAUUACUGGGCGUAAAGCGCAAACACGCGUUCGAAAUCCCCGGGCUCAACCUGGGAACUGCAUCCGAAACUGGCAGGCUAGAGUCUUGUAGAGGGGGGUAGAAUUCCAGGUGUAGCGGUGAAAUGCGUAGAGAUCUGGAGGAAUACCGGUGGCGAAGGCGGCCCCCUGGACAAAGACUGACGCUCAGGUGCGAAAGCGUGGGGAGCAAACAGGAUUAGAUACCCUUGUAGUC